rnacentral:rRNA from 1 species
CAGCCGCCGCGGGAAUACGUAGGGUGCAAGCGUUAAUCGGAAUUACUGGGCGUAAAGCGUGCGCAGGCGGUUUUGUAAGACAGAGGUGAAAUCCCCGGGCUCAACCUGGGAACUGCCUUUGUGACUGCAAGGCUAGAGUACGGCAGAGGGGGAUGGAAUUCCGCGUGUAGCAGUGAAAUGCGUAGAUAUGCGGAGGAACACCGAUGGCGAAGGCAAUCCCCUGGGCCUGUACUGACGCUCAUGCACGAAAGCGUGGGGAGCAAACAGGAUUAGAUACCCGUGUAGUCCCUGUCUCUUAUAC